rnacentral:rRNA from 1 species
ACGAACGCUGGCGGCGUGCUUAACACAUGCCAGUCGAACGGAAAGGCCCUGCUUUUGUGGGGUGCUCGAGUGGCGAACGGGUGAGUAACACGUGAGUAACCUGCCCUUGACUUUGGGAUAACUUCAGGAAACUGGGGCUAAUACCGGAUAGGAGCUCCUGCUGCAUGGUGGGGGUUGGAAAGUUUCGGCGGGUGGGGAUGGACUCGCGGCUUAUCAGCUUGUUGGUGGGGUAGUGGCUUACCAAGGCUUUGACGGGUAGCCGGCCUGAGAGGGUGACCGGCCACAUUGGGACUGAGAUACGGCCCAGACUCCUACGGGAGGCAGCAGUGGGGAAUAUUGCACAAUGGGCGGAAGCCUGAUGCAGCAACGCCGCGUGCGGGAUGACGGCCUUCGGGUUGUAAACCGCUUUCGCCUGUGACGAAGCGUGAGUGACGGUAAUGGGUAAAGAAGCACCGGCUAACUACGUG